rnacentral:rRNA from 1 species
UACGCAGGCGGACCGUUAAGUCGGGUGUGAAAGCCCGGGCUCAACCCCGGAAUUGCGCCCGAUACUGGCGGUCUUGAGUACGGGAGAGGGAUAGCGGAAUUCCUGGUGUAGAGGUGAAAUUCGUAGAUAUCAGGAGGAACACCAGUGGCGAAAGCGGCUUCCUGGCCCGAUACUGACGCUCAUGUACGAAAGCGUGGGGAGCAAACA